UGAUCUCAAAUCAGGUAGGAUUACCCGCUGAACUUAA
rnacentral:rRNA from 1 species